AUUGAACGCUGGCGGAAUGCCUAAUACAUGCAAGUCGAGCGAAUCUUGAGGUGCUUGCACCUCUUGGUUAGCGGCGGACGGGUGAGUAACACGUGGGCAACCUGCCUGUAAGACUGGGAUAACACCGGGAAACCGGUGCUAAUACCGGAUAAUCCUUUUCCUCUCAUGAGGAAAAGCUGAAAGUCGGUUUCGGCUGACACUUACAGAUGGGCCCGCGGCGCAUUAGCAAGUUGGUGAGGUAACGGCUCACCAAGGCGACGAGGCGUAGCCGUCCUGAGAGGGUGAUCGGCCACACUGGGACUGAGACACGGCCCAGACUCCUACGGGAGGCAGCAGUAGGGAAUCUUCCGCAAUGGACGAAAGUCUGACGGAGCAACGCCGCGUGAGCGAUGAAGGCCUUCGGGUCGUAAAGCUCUGUUGUUAGGGAAGAACAAGUACCGGAGUAACUGCCGGUACCUUGACGGUACCUAACCAGAAAGCCACGGCUAACUACGUGCCAGCCGCCGCCGUAA
rnacentral:rRNA from 1 species